CGCGCGGCGGAGUCUCGAACACGAUCUUGCCGUCGGGCGGCGCGGCGAGCGCGGCCGGCCGGGCGUCCAGAUUCAACGCGAUCGCGAGCGUGCUGCCGUCGCCGAGGCGCCAGCGCGCGACGAGCGACGAGCGGGCGAACGUCGCCGGGUCGUUCGGGUCGGGAAUCGCGUCGCGAUGGGCGGGAUCGGCGAACGCGGGGAAGGCGGCGAAUUCGCGGCGGCGGCCUUCGCGCACCGCUGCGGCGAGCGCGCCGCGAUGAUCGGUGAAGAACUGGAACGGUUGCGUCGUGCCGCAUUCCUCGCCCAUGAACAGCAGCGGAAUCUGCGGCGCAAGCAGCGCGAGCGCGCUCGCCGCGCGCAGCGCGUCGUCGUUCACGAGCGCGCGCAGCCGCUCGCCGAAUGCGCGGUUGCCGAUCUGAUCGUGGUUCUGCAGGAACGCGACGAACGCGCUCGGCGGCAGGUCCGCGCUCGGUUCGCCGCGCGGUGCGCCGCCGUGCAGCGGCGACGGCUCGCCCUGAUACGCGAAACCUUCGCCGAGCACGCGCGCGAGGUGGCGGAUCGGCGCGUCGGCAUACGCGCGGUAGUAGCCCGCCUGCUCGCCCGUCAGCAGCACGUGCAUGCUGUUGUGGAAAUCGUCGUUCCAUUGCGCGUCGAAGCGGCCGCCGGCGAGCAGGCUCGCGGUGUUGCGUUCGUUUUCGAGCACGAGAUGCACGUGGCGCGCGUCGCCCGCGUAGGCGCGCACGCGGCGGGCGAGGCCGGCGAGCCACGCGUCGUCGCCGAUCGCGUGCGCGGCGUCGAUCCGCAGUCCGUCGAACCGGUAUUCGUCGAGCCAGUACAGCGCGUUCUCGAGAAAGAACGCGCCCGCCUGCGGGCACGAGAAAUCGAUGGCCGGCCCCCAUGCGGUAUCGCGGUCGCGGCGGAAGAACGCGGGCGCGUAGCGGGGCAGCAGGUUGCCGUCGGGGCCGAAGUGGUUGUAGACGACGUCGAGCAGCACCUGAAGCCCGAGCCCGUGCGCGGCGUCGACGAGCGACUUCAGCGCGUCGGGCGGCCCGUAGGAUGCGUCGGGCGCGAACGGCAGCACGCCGUCGUAGCCCCAGUUGCGCGCGCCGGGGAACGCGUUGACGGGCAUCAGCUCGAUCGCGGUGAUGCCGAGCGCGGCGAGCGCCGGGAGCCGGCGCGCGAUCCGCGCAUAGCCGCCGAACGCGCCGACGUGCACCUCGUACAGCACGGUCUCGCGCCACGGCCGUCCGCGCCAGUCGUCGUGGCGCCAGCGGUAGGCGGCCGGAUCGACGACCUCGCUCGGGCCGUGCACGCCGUGCGGCUGGAAGCGCGACGCGGGAUCGGGCACGCGCAGCGUGCCGUCGAGCAGGUAGCGGUACAGCGUGCCGGGCCCGCAUCGCACGAUCGCGUCGAAGCCGCCGCCGCCGUCGGGCGUCAUCGCGACGGUCUCGCCGUCUUGCCGUUCGACGGCGGCGCUGCGGCAGGCGGGCGCCCAGAGGUGAAAGCGCGUGUGCCGCGCGUCGACGCACGUCGCGCCGAAGGGCAGCGCAUACGCAUGCGUGGCGGUCGAAUCGUUCAUCGGCGGUUCCUCGCGAAGCGGACGGCUCAGCCGGCCUCGGGCACCGACGCCGCCGCGAUCACCGCGGCGUGCGCGGCGAUCUCGACGCCGUCGGCGGGCAUCAGCCGCGGCGCCGCGUCGGGCGCCGCGCUGUCGAGCAGAAUGCGGUAGACGAGCGAGGGCGGCGGCGCAUGGAACACGAUCGCGUCGGACGACGCGUUCAGCAUCAGCAGCAACGCCUCCGGCCGCCCCGCGCGUCCGUUGCCGACCCGCCGCAUCGUCAGCGCGCGCCGCUCGCGGUCGUGCCAGGCGGGCACCGUCAGCGCGUCUCCGCGCUCGUCGAACCAGUCGAUCUCGUGCAAGCCGGGCGCGCCGUCGCGCUCGCCCGACGGAUAGCGCGGCUCGGACAGCACCGGAUACGCGCGCCGCAGCGCCGCGAGCCGGCCGACGAAGUGAAUCAUCGUGCGGCCGUCCGCCGAUUCGGCCGCGCUCCAGUCGAACCACGACAGUUCGUUAUCCUGGCAAUACGCGUUGUUGUUGCCCUGCUGCGUGCGCCCGAACUCGUCGCCGCCGAGCAGCAUCGGCGUGCCGAGCGCGGCGAACAGCGUCGUGAGCAGCGAGCGCGCGACGCGCGCGCGCACGGCCCGCACCUGUCUGUCUUCGGUGGGCCCCUCGGCGCCCCAGUUCGCGCUGCAGUUGUCGUCGCGCCCGUCGCGGUUGUCUUCGCCGUUCGCGUCGUUGUGCUUGGCCGCGUAUGAGACGAGAUCGGCAAGCGUGAAGCCGUCGUGCGCGGCGACGAAGUUCACGGUCGACCAGGUCCGCCGCCCGUGGUGGUUGAACAGGUCGGCCGAGCCCGCGAGCCGCGCGGCGAGCUCCGGCCGCAUGCCGGCGUCGCCGCGCCAGAAGCGCCGCACGGUGUCGCGAAAGCGGUCGUUCCACUCGGCGAAGCCGGCCGGAUGGCGGCCGAGCUGAUAGCCGCCCGGGCCGACAUCCCACGGCUCGGCGAUCAGCUUGCGCGUGGCGAGCACGGGGUCCUGGCGCAGCGCGUCGAAAAAGCCCGCGCCCGGAUCGAAGCCGGCCGCCUCGCGGCCGAGCGUCGCGCAGAGAUCGAAGCGAAAGCCGUCGACGUUGAACGCGUUCGACCAGUAGCGCAGCGAAUCCAUCACCAUCUGCAGCACGCGCGGGUGCGACAGGUCGAGCGUGUUGCCGCAGCCCGUCUCGUCGAUGUGGCGGCGCGGGUCGUCCGGCGCGAGCCGGUAGUAGCUCGCGUUGUCGAGGCCGCGCCAGCAGAUCGUCGGGCCGAGCUGAUUGCCCUCGCACGUAUGGUUGUAGACGACGUCGAGCAGCACUUCGAUGCCCGCCGCGUGCAACUGGCGGAUCGCGAUGCGCAUCUCGUCGAGCCGGCGCGUCGCGAGAUACGAGGGCUCGGGCGCGAAGAACGCGGCGGUGUCGUAGCCC
rnacentral:rRNA from 1 species